rnacentral:ncRNA from 1 species
CAAAAACUUGUAGUGAUACAAGCCUGAGACAGGAGAAGUCAGCAGAAGCCGUAGUAGUGAAGACAGCUAGUGAAAGUUAGACAGAGCGAAGGGC